rnacentral:misc_RNA from 1 species
AAAAGGAAUUGAUUUGGGACCUGCACAAGCGGUGGAUGAUGUGGAUUAAUUCGAUGCAACGCGAAAACCUUUACCUACCCUUGACAUGUCUGGAAUCCCGAAGAGAUUUUGGAGUGCUCGCAAGAGAACCGGAACACAGGUGCUGCAUGGCUGUCGUCAGCUCGUGUCGCGAGAUGUUGGGUUAAGUCCCGCAACGAGCGCAACCCUUGUCAUUAUUACAUGAAAGGGCACUCUAAUGAGACUGCCGGUGACAAACCGGGAGGAAGGUGGGGAUGACGUCAAGUCCUCAUGGCCCUUAUGGGCAGGGUCACACGUCAUACAAUGGUCGGGACAGAGGGCUGCCAACCCGCGAGGGGGAGCCAAUCCCAGAAAAACCCGAUCGUAGUCCGGAUCGCAGUCUGCAACUCGACCGCGUGAAGUCGGGAAUCGCUAGUAAUCGCGGAUCAAGAUGUCGCGUGAAUACGUUCCCGGUUCGGUACACUGCCCGUCACACCAUGGGAGUGGUUUACCAGAAGUAGUUAGCCUAACCGUAAGGAGGGCGAUUACCACGGUAGGAUCUAGUGACUGGGGUGAAGUCGUACAAGGUA